UACGUAGGUGGCAAGCGUUGUCCGGAUUUACUGGGCGUAAAGAGCGCGCAGGCGGUCGAUUUAGGCGCGUGUGAAAGCCCCCGGCUCAACUGGGGAGGGUCACGCGAUACUGAUCGACUCGAAGGCAGGAGAGGGUAGUGGAAUUCCCGGUGUAGCGGUGAAAUGCGCAGAUAUCGGGAGGAACACCUAUGGCGAAGGCAGCUCGCUGGGACGUUACUGACGCUGAGACGCGAAAGCGUGGGGAGCAAACAGG
rnacentral:rRNA from 1 species